UGAAGACUCCAGGCAGUGCCAAAGGACAAACUCCUCAUGCACACAAGCAGGAAAGAGAGAUGCUCCCAAUAUGCAUCUACUCAUGGAUAUUUUAAUAACCCACUUCUGAUGGCUGCUGCACUGAUGACCAAUCACACUGAAAUAUGAGGCCCGACAGCCAGAUUGGUUGGUGUGCUGCAAGGAUAUUUGGGAGAGCUGUUUUGCCAUGUCAACUCAGCAGGUCAAAGCUGUUCCAUACAAUUGCAAAGCAGUGUAAGAGAAAUACACUUAUUCUUCUGUCACUGCUGUCAAAAAUGGAGGAGAGGAGGAAGUCCCAAACACUGCAUUUCAUCAGA